rnacentral:rRNA from 1 species
GUGGGGAAUCUUCCGCAAUGGACGAAAGUCUGACGGAGCAACGCCGCGUGAGUGAAGAAGGUUUUCGGAUCGUAAAGCUCUUUCGUUAGGGACGAACGUGCUCUUUGUGAAUAAUGAGGAGUAAUGACGGUACCUAAAUAAGAAGCCACGGCUAACUACGUGCCAGCAGCCGCGGUAAUACGUAGGUGGCAAGCGUUGUCCGGAAUUAUUGGGCGUAAAGCGCGCGCAGGCGGGAUAUCAAGUCUGUCGUAAAAGUGCGAGGCUCAACCUCGUGAGGGGACAGAAACUGGUAUUCUUGAGUGUCGGAGAGGAAAGUGGAAUUCCAAGUGUAGCGGUGAAAUGCGUAGAGAUUUGGAAGAACACCAGUGGCGAAGGCGACUUUCUGGACGAUGUCUGACGCUGAGGCGCGAAAGCUAGGGGAGCGAACGGGAUUAGAUACCCGGGUAGUCC